GGGCACAGUUCAUUGUCCGGCUCCGCUGUCCGUCGGGGCUGCGAUAUUUCUGAUGUGCUAGAACGAGCUGGAGGUUAAUUAGCAGAGCGGCUGCUGGGUGCCUCGUCUGCCAGUCCCCUUCACACACUG
rnacentral:snoRNA from 13 species